GAUGAACGCUGGCGGCGUGCCUAAUACAUGCAAGUCGAGCGAACAGACGAGGAGCUUGCUCCUCUGACGUUAGCGGCGGACGGGUGAGUAACACGUGGAUAACCUACCUAUAAGACUGGGAUAACUUCGGGAAACUGGAGCUAAUACCGGAUAAUAUAUUGAACCGCAUGGUUCAAUAGUGAAAGACGGUUUUGCUGUCACUUAUAGAUGGAUCCGCGCCGCAUUAGCUAGUUGGUAAGGUAACGGCUUACCAAGGCAACGAUGCGUAGCCGACCUGAGAGGGGGAUCGGCCACCCUGGAACUGAGACACGGCCCAGAACCCUACGGGAGGCAGCAGGAGGGAAUCUUCCGCAAUGGGCGAAAGCUUGACGGAGCAACCCCGCGGGAGUGAUGAAGGUCUUCGGAUCGUAAAACUUUUUUAUUGGGGAAGAACAAAUGUGUAAGUAACUAUGCCCGUCUUGACGGUACCAAAUCAGAAAGCCACGGCUAACUACGU
rnacentral:rRNA from 1 species